GUGUUAUUUAGCUCCGAGUGUUUUUACUGCCAUAAAUUGCGAUCUUUUCUAGCAGACAAUAAUGACAGUGGCAGUAUGAAGGCAUCAGGGACUGAUGGGGUAGUCCGCCUGACUGAUAAGCAAAUCCUUGCUUCUAACACAAGUUCCUCUGAAACACAACCUUAGAAGAUACUGAAAAUGUUGAACAUACUGGAGAGAGCAUGCAUGUUUCAGAUGAAAAUGAUAAAGUUGAAAAAACACCACCAAAUGAAGUCCAAGAGUCGGUCAAUGACAAAUAAUUGGCAACAUGUGAUGAAACUGACUCUGUAAAUGCUGUAAAUACAAUGGGACUAAGUAUAUAUUAUACAGAUACUGAAGAUGUUGAACAUACUGGAGAGGGCAUGGAUUUUUCCGAAGAAAAUGAUAGUGGUGAGCAAGCAGCACCAAAUGAAGUUCAAGAGUCGGUCAGUGACAAAGAAGGGGCAACAUGUAAUGAAACUGACUUUGUAAAUGCUGUAAAUACAAUUGGACUAAGUAAUUAUUAUACAGAUACUGAAGAUGUUGAACAUACUGGAGAGAGCAUGGAUUUUUCCGAAGAAAAUGAUAGUGGUGAGCAAACAGCACCAAACGAAGUCCAAGAGUCGGACAGUGACAAAGAAGGGGCAACAUGUGAUGAAACUGAUUCUGUAAAUACUGUAAAUACAAUGGGAAUUAGCCUUUAUUAUACAGAUACUGAAGAUGUUAAACAUACUUGAGAGAGCAUGGAUGUUUCAGGUGAAAAUGAUAUAGGUGAUGAAACACCACCAAAUGAAGUCUGAGAGUUGGUCAGUGACAAUGGAGAAGGGUCAGAAUUUAACUCUUUAAUUUGACAGACCAUACAGUUGGUUGAAUUCUACAGAGAGGAUGACAAACGAUGGCUGAAACAGACAAAAGAAAAAAGGUUCGAUCAAAACUCCACGGACUAAUGAGGAACAGAGUGUUGUGUGUAGGGGACUGAAAAAAUGCUUUGAUCUUAAUAUUCUUACAAAAAAGUUAGAAUGUGAAGAGUUUAUCAAGAAAAUCCUGUCCUUUCAAGAAGGUCAUGAACAAUGGUCAAAGGAUUCGUUAGGACAAGGCAACUUCCUCUAAAAUGAAAACAAAAGUAUGUUAAAUAUAUAUCGGACAUAACUGGACAUAAUCAAAGUGAUUGUAGUUUAUUUCAUUGUGUAUUUUUUUUUUUUUACUUUUUGUUGUUUGGCUUAUUGUUAAAGUAGUGCAUAUAUAACCGCACCAGUAGUAUGUUUAGUACAUUGAAAAACAUUUUCAGAGAUAAAUGAAUCACAAAAUUGGAGUAAGUUAGACUUUAAAAGAUAUCAUUCUGUUAGACUGUAGACAGGUAAUUUAUUUUCAGAGAUCUUUUCCGAUAAAUCUAUCGGGACAAUAACAAACCACUAUUUUUGCAUGUUGUACAUGCAUGACAAAACCCUUGAAAUGUUUACUGACAGGUAUCGCUAUUUCAAGUGUAUGCUGUGCAAAACUAAAGAAAAACACAAAAACAUAAAAACUUCAAUAUCAUUCGCAGAAGCAAGACACCACAAUUGAUUGAAACAUACACAUUCAAACCGCUGCCAUGAUAACUAAUGGAAUGUCAAUGCACAAGGUAGUUCAAGACAAUUUCAAUUUUAUGUUUUGAAUGUUAGUAUGCUCCUUACUCAUUACUGACACAAUGGCAGUGUGGCACACUAGCACUAUCACAGUUUGACAGAAACCUGUAAAACUGGUGUUUAGACCCAAUAUUAUUGGUUUUAACUGAUUUUGUCUGGCUGGGGAUUGGACCUUAUUUGACACACCUGUACUAGUGGAAAAUCUAUUGCAAAUUUAUUUUGAAGACCGUGGUUUUAAAUUGAACUUAUUUUUAAAAUUUGAAAUUAAUGUUGGUAUCUGUUAUAAAUAUUUUUUACUGCAGACGGCAUGUCACAUAAAACAUCACAGAAAAAAGGUAUGAUAUAAAUGAACAUUUCCCCCACAAGAUGGGAAUGAUUAUUUUCCCAUAAGGUGGUCAUUGAAAAAAAUGAA
rnacentral:lncRNA from 1 species